rnacentral:ncRNA from 2 species
ACAAAUUGUAGAGGUGCGAAUGCCAUAAGUAUUCCUUUAGAGCGGAAAGCGAUGAAAAAGGCGGAAAGGGGUAUUUGCCGAAAUCGAUUAAGCGUCAUCUUAAUCGGUUGGGGUCGUUACCGAAAGGAACGACACUGUCACAGCAACGCUGUGGAGUGCUACUGUUUAG